UAUAUUCUAAAUAUAUUCCGGAUAUAGCCCGUUUUGCCCAAGGAAUAUAUUUCAAAAGUAUAUAAUAUAUUCAGUAUAUAUACGAUGGAUCAGACCAUAGAUCUGACGACAGACCAGACUAUAGACCAGAGAAAAAUUUGGAGUAAAACGGAAUACAAGUGAGUGCAUGCCCAUAUAUUCCGGAAUAUAUUCCUUGGGCAAAACGGGUCAUAUUCGGAAUAUAUUCUGGAAUAUAUUUCAAAAUAUAUUCCAGAAUAUAUACUUUUUCCGUGCGGGCUAUUAAAUAACUGAUCUUUUUUGAUGAUA